rnacentral:rRNA from 1 species
GUCUACAUUAGAUACCCCGGUAGUCCCAGCCGUAAACUAUGCGCGUUAGGUGUAUCGGUGACCACGAGUCACCGAGGUGCCGAAGGGAAACCGUGAAACGUGCCGCCUGGGAAGUACGGUCGCAAGGCUGAAACUUAAGGAAUUGGCGGGGGAGCACCACAACGGGUGGAGCCUGCGGUUUAAUUGGACUCAACGCCGGGAAGCUCACCGGAUAAGACAGCGGAAUGAUUGCCGGGCUGAAGACUCUGCAUGACUAGCUG